UGCAAGUCGAACGAAGCAUUGUGAAGGAGGCUUCGGCCAAUGGAUCAAUGACUAGUGGCGGACGGGUGAGUAACGCGUGAGCAACCUGCCUUUCAGAGGGGGAUAACGUUUGGAAACGAACGCUAAUACCGCAUGACAUAGUUUUGUCGCAUGACAGGGCUAUCAAAGGAGCAAUCCGCUGAAAGAUGGGCUCGCGUCCGAUUAGAUAGUUGUGGGGUAACGGCCUACCAAGUCGACGAUCGGUAGCCGGACUGAGAGGUUGAACGGCCACAUUGGGACUGAGACACGGCCCAGACUCCUACGGGAGGCAGCAGUGGGGAAUAUUGCACAAUGGGCGCAAGCCUGAUGCAGCAACGCCGCGUGAGGGAAGACGGUUUUCGGAUUGUAAACCUCUGUCCUUGGUGACGAACAAAUGACGGUAGCCGAGGAGGAAGCCACGGCUAACUACGUGCCAGCCGCCGC
rnacentral:rRNA from 1 species